GGGCCUUGAGUGGCUCAGUGUGGGGAGGGGCUCGGCUUUCAGAGGCCUCCCCUUGCGUCAGCCCAAGGACUGGCCCCAGGGCCACGCCCCUCGCAGCUGGAAACCGCUGACUUCCCUGUUCUGGGAUCCAAAGCGGCAGCCCCGCCCCCCAUGGUGACGUCACGUGCCGGGACACCAUGGACACCCUUGCUCCGGGGAUUUUUAUAGGAGCGGUGCGAGGCCACAAAGCUGCUGGGGAGGAUGUCGUCCCCCUGGCCAGGGCCUGGGCCUCGGCGACCUUGGGCUCCGAGGGAACUGUCGGAGCCAGGGGCAGCGUGUGGCCCCGAGCCCCGCUGGAUGCAUCCCAGCGCUCCGUGCCAACGGUGCUUCCAGUUUUCCACUCCUCCGAGAUGAGUCAGAGAUGCGCUUUAGCCAGCACAGCAGACGGCUCACUGUGGACUCAGAUUCAUCACCCGGACUCCUAUUCAGACUGUUUCCUAAGUGGUCCGAGCCACGCUGGGCUGGAAGUCACCCGGAGAGGGGCUGCCCGUGGGAGCUUUCAGAAUCCAGGGGGCCGCAGGGUUGGGGCUCAUCGUCACGGUGAUCGCACGCAGCGAGAGCCUACCAUUUCUUCUCUCACGCUAGCCGUUUCAGUGCUGUCCCCUGGCCGGUGUUUAUGUGCGUGUUAGAGGAAGGGGAAGGGGAGCGUGUCGUGGGGUGUUUGAGGAAAGCUUACGCUUGUCAGCUACUCGCACGUACGUUUGAAGAGUGUUCAGUCUUUGUCUUUAAGCUGAAGGCUCUGAAUUCGUUUUGGACGGAGAGUUUCAAGAAAGGGGGAAACUGUCUGUGUCAAGACAGACGUGGAUAUAGCCUUUCAAGGUGCUAGAUUUGUGCUGACUUGGUCCAAAACACAACCGCAUCUGGCUACGUCUGGUGUCGACCGCUCCAAAAAUGUCCUAAAUUCCAGACAACCUCUUGGGCUUAGAAAUAAAAAGUCAUUAAUCCUGCAUUUGAAUU